GCCUCACCUGCGCCUCCCACCCACACACCCUCUGCCCAUUGGCCUGGGAGCUUUCAUCACAUCCCACCCCUGGCCCUUUCUCUGUUGGUUGGGGGUGCUUCUCCUCAGCCCUGUCCUGUGGAAGGAUCUCAGACUGAGGAACACUGAUGUACCCCACUCUGGUAAUGUUGUUUGGAUGUUGGGAGGCUGCUCUAGUUGGAGCUGCCCUAACAGCCUUGUUUCCCACUGGUCCCAUUGGAGCCUAAUCCCAGCUCUGCUGCUGCUCUGUGGUCAGUCAGGACCCAGUUCUCCGGAUGGCUGUGUGUGCAAAAGAAGCUUGGGAGUAAACCUCAAACACCUUGAAUAG
rnacentral:lncRNA from 1 species